rnacentral:lncRNA from 1 species
AGCCCCCGCGCAUCUCUGUGGCAGCUGCUCCGUGCUUCCCGCCCCGCCGCGCCCGCCCACCCAACGGCGCUGUGUCCCGCCGGUAGCUCAGCGGGGACUUCCUUUAUGUGGUACAGGGUUGGGCCUGGAGACCCGGAUGCCGGCGAGGUCCUGGCUGGGAGAGGCCGCCGCUGCCUUCAGGUUUCCGAGACAAUGGAGACUCUGAGAACAUCCAGAAAUAUCCACAGGACUGGCGAGGCUGUGGGCUUUCAACCACCACGAGAGGCUGUUUGCAUAUGAUUCUUCUAAAAUUGACAUCAGUGAAAUGCCUUGAAGAUAAUAAAGUGUUGAAGAAAUAAACAAAAUCAGAAUAUAUGGGAUCAGUUAGAAAGCUCUUAUUUAAGAAACAUGGAGGAUAUGAGAGCAAGCAAUGAAGUAAUGUUACAAAAUGACAUAUUUGAGUAGUUCAUACUGGUGGAAUUUUCCUGGCACUCUCAUGAGUUGAAACAUAAUCAUUAAAGACUCUGGCACUUGAAACCGUGAUGACAGCUGCAUUUCUUGCAGUCAAGGGAACUCGGAGUGUUUUAGCUUAUGGGUUCUGUGGAAGCCAGGCCACUUGUCUUCCUCGCUUCAGCCCCCUUCGCACAGGAGGUGACGAAUCUCUUCCCUCACUGGAGUUCCUGGAGCCAGAGUAUACAAAGAAGCCACACACAAAGCUCCUAAAGAGAGCUCCACAGGCCUGAGACAUAUUAAAUUGUCAUCUUCCUGGGACCAAGAGAUUCCCUCCAUUAUGAAAAUGUUGUACAGCCUUAUUAUGCAACACACUCUGUUUUGCUCUGUGUGAGUUCCACUCCCACUGUCACAGCUCUGUCAGCAGACCCUGAGGCCUGGGCAUCAAUUUCAAAUCUUCAUGGAGAGCCAAUGCUGUGGGAAGGGUGUCCUUUAGUCUGUGAUAUUCACGAGUGAGGGACAGAGCUGGACAUUUUAGUGAAUCUCAGAGCUGCAGGGAAAGUACUGUCUUCAGCUACUCUUCUCUGCCUAGACUUGGGACUAUUCUAUAAUUUCCUCACUGGAUUAAUAAUCGGUACCUGUUGAAUCCUGUGUCCACUGUUCAAUAUAACCCGGUAGGGUGGAACAAUCGGAAAAUCAUCUGCUUUAUGCCUGCAUCCUCUCCUGGCUAAGAUUUCAAUAGGUCCAGUUGUGCACAUUAGGUAGAAUUGUCAUGUCUGAAGAAGUAAUACAAACCAUGUCCUCAGAUGUCACAGAGCUCAGGUAUAGUCAAAAUUGUUUCUUGGAUGAAUCUCUGGAGAAGGAGAGUUGGCUCUGCAGAGAUGGAUCAUCGUGUGUGUCACCCUUGCAAUGUGUUCCUGACAGCCCAUGGAAGCGGGCUAGUGGAUUCAGCUCCAGCAGUAACUGUUGGUUGGGAUGGACAACCCAGAAAUGGGGCAUGUGAGGAAGAGAAAAUGAAAGUGGAUAGCCUGUUACCGAAAACUGCUGGACUAAGACACUUGUAAGCCUGUCAAUCUCAGUGGCCAACAGACAUGAAAAAAAUUUCCAACAUCAUUAAUUAUCAGAGAAAUGCAAAUAAAAACAACAAUGAAAUACCA